UACGAAGGGGGCUAGCGUUGUUCAGAUUUACUGGGCGUAAAGCGCACGUAGGCGGAUCGAUCAGUCAGGGGUGAAAUCCCAGAGCUCAACUCUGGAACUGCCUUUGAUACUGUCGAUCUGGAGUAUGGAAGAGGUGAGUGGAAUUCCGAGUGUAGAGGUGAAAUUCGUAGAUAUUCGGAGGAACACCAGUGGCGAAGGCGGCUCACUGGUCCAUUACUGACGCUGAGGUGCGAAAGCGUGGGGAGCAAACAGG
rnacentral:rRNA from 1 species